AGCGAACGCUGGCGGCAGGCCUAACACAUGCAAGUCGAACGAACCCUUCGGGGUUAGUGGCGGACGGGUGAGUAACACGUGGGAACGUGCCUUUAGGUUCGGAAUAACUCAGGGAAACUUGUGCUAAUACCGAAUGUGCCCUUCGGGGGAAAGAUUUAUCGCCUUUAGAGCGGCCCGCGUCUGAUUAGCUAGUUGGUGAGGUAAUGGCUCACCAAGGCUACGAUCAGUAGCUGGUCUGAGAGGAUGACCAGCCACAUUGGGACUGAAACACGGCCCAAACUCCUACGGGAGGCAGCAGUGGGGAAUCUUGCGCAAUGGGCGAAAGCCUGACGCAGCCAUGCCGCGUGGAUGAUGAAGGUCUUAGGAUUGUAAAAUCCUUUCACCGGUGAAGAUGAUGACUGUAGCCGGAGAAGAAGCCCCGGCUAACUUCGUGCCAGCCGCCGCCGUAAGAC
rnacentral:rRNA from 1 species